UCCCUGGUGGUACAGUGGUUAGGACUUAGUGCUUUCAUUGCUGGGGCCUGGGUUUAAUCCCUGGUCGGGGAA
rfam:Ovis aries breed Texel chromosome 17, whole genome shotgun sequence.